rnacentral:antisense_RNA from 1 species
GUGGACGAGCUCGGGACCAUCGCCGCCGUC